rnacentral:rRNA from 1 species
CGGCUCAUCGCAUCCUGGGGCUGUAGUCGGUCCCAAGGGUUGGGCUGUUCGCCCAUUAAAGCGGUCCGCGAGCUGGGUUCAGAACGUCGUGAGACAGUUCGGUCCCUAUCCGUCGCGGGCGCAGGAAAUUUGAGAGGAGCUGUCCUUAGUACGAGAGGACCGGGAUGGACGCACCGCUGGUGUACCAGUUGUUCUGCCAAGGGCAUCGCUGGGUAGCUAUGUGCGGACGGGAUAAGUGCUGAAAGCAUCUAAGCAUGAAGCCCCCCUCAAGAUGAGAUUUCCCAUUCCGCAAGGAAGUAAGAUCCCUGAAAGAUGAUCAGGUUGAUAGGUCUGAGGUGGAAGCGUGGUGACACGUGGAGCUGACAGAUACUAAUAGAUCGAGGACUUAACCUAU